rnacentral:sRNA from 1 species
UGAUGGUUACAUAUACUAAGAAGGCC